AGCAGGGGGAGGGGGGAGAUGGCUGAAGCAGAAACUACCGUUGUUAAAAGAAAUGUGUUUAACUUUGAAAAUGUGGGCACAAUUUUAAUUGUCAAAAACUCCAGCGAACCAUUAGUUCAUUUUGCUCAAAUAGAAAUAGAGGCCUGCCUCUAAUACUGGCCCUCCUUCCAAUAAAGGCCUGGAGCUUGAUAAGCUUGAGUCAAAUACAGGCCCGGGCCUGUAUUAGAGGAUUUACGGUAUAUUUGAUCUUGAUGGUGAAACUAAAGGCGUUUAACACUGAACAACUAACAUGAAUGCGGCUUCUGAGAGCUAGCUAAUAUCAGCUAAAACUGUGUUCUGCUGCUGCUGCUGCUGCUCACCUUCCUUCUUGAAAAACCUAGUCAAUACUUGCUUCUGUUCAAUUAACUUUUUCUCCUUCUUUUCUUUUCUUUUCUGGAAGCCAGAUUUCCCUUUCUUGGGAAAAGACAUGACUGACUCUCCUGCCUCCAGCUCUGGCUGUCGGCAUCUGCGAUGUCUCACAGCUGUUCAUGGGUCGUGCAGCCCCUGGCCGCUGGUGUGGUCUAAACCACUUUGCGCAUUUUUAAGGGGUGAUAGAUGCCUCAGAGAUUAUUCAGUUAUUAUUUUAAGACGAAAUUCUGUUUCUUAACCUCUUUAUCCAGGUAAAGGGAAGUUUAUUAAGACAUUAAGUAAGUUGGGGGGAAAAACAACAACAAUAAAACAUUUUUAUUCAAAGCUGUCUCAGGGCCCCUCCCUGCAGUGGGCCCUGGGUAAACGGUACCCUUCCCCCCCCCAGUCCGACGCCCCUGACUGGGACCAAAAUUAGGCCCUGGCAUUUUUAUGAACCGUCGGCCCUCGGCAGGGGAGUUUGCUGCUUGCGACCCGUCUAUCCCGUCAUACAGUUAAAUCAUGUUUUUACCAACUAAGACGCAUCUCGAAACUAAAGCACAUCCUGAGUGUCCGUCUUCUGAAAUCCGUGGUCCACACUUUCAUCACUUCAAGGCUGGAUUACUCUAACUCCUGCUUAUACGGCAUCAGUAAAGCAGCUCUUUCUAGACUUCAGCUGGUCCAGAAUUCAGCAGCUUGGUUGCUGACUGGAGCUGACAGAAGACAACACAUUUCACCAAUUCUGAAAUCUCUCCACUGGUUCCCUGUGCAGUUCAGGAUAAAUUUCAAAAUUAUGCUUCUGACUUACAAAUCCUUGAACCAUCAAGCUCCUCCAUAUCUGUGUGAACUUGUCCAUUACUACAACCCGCCGCGUGCUCUCAGGUCUGAAGAUGAGCUCCUCCUAGCUGUUCCGAAUCAUAGACUGUACAUAUACUGGACAAACGGAUUCCAUUGGCUUCAAUAACACGUUUGUUGUCUAUAAUGGGAGGUGGCCACCACCGCCAUUUUGACCGUGUCACAGGUUCCGUCCAGCCCAGACAAUUCCAUAAAAGGGAAGAGAGGAGGCGCUGAGGGUGUGGCUGUAAGGCUGGGCUCGAGUGACGACACCCAGGCGAACUAGCUACGAGCUAACCUGAAGCUAACCCUGGCUAACCCAAAGCUAAAGCGGAGGUGUGAGCCGAGCUAACGGAUGUAGCCACCUAGCUUCAACCCAACCGGAGCUAACUGGAACACCCAUCGACCUGAACCUCACACGGAGUUUAGGUGGAGGUUUUCUGCGCCUGUUCGUGAGAAGUACCUGUAUUAAAAAAGUUUUAAAUCGCCAUUUGGAUCAUUGGGGACAGCUGAGUGAGGCGUGGUGCCCAGAGAGCUGCAGAGACAACCUUGGCCUCCCUGACGUCUGUGUCUCCUGGUUCGGUUGGGGCGGACCAUCGACAUACAUACAUGUGCCGAUACUGUGCCCUGUUUUAUAAAAUGUAGUGUUAAAAAUAAAUGUUUUUGCUCAAUUACUGGAAUUUCUUUGGUUAAGACAAAAGUGAGGAAUAAUCAUUUACAAGUUAUUUGUACAACAGGCCCAUUUUAAAUCCCAACAGUUUCUUAGCAGCCAAUAGAAAUGUGUUCUUUACUUGGUUUGAAAAUCUUACUAAAAUAAACUUGAGUGCCGUAUUGCAAAACCCAAUCAUACUUGUUAUGUAAACAUUAGCUUUGAAGAUAUUUUUUACAGAUAUAUAUUUGUGUGCAACAAAAACCAAACUUAAAUAAUUUGUCAUUCUUUAUUGAAAAACAACAAAAUACAGGUAUACAGAAGUGUGGGAAAAUGAUAAUGUGAAAGUAUUGCACUAUAAAUGAAGUGAGAUGAGAUGAAGGUGAGAUGAAGGUGGACGCCAGCGGGCUGGACGCCGGACGAGGAAACCUGGAGACGGAUCGCUCAGACAGGAAGGGAAGAGCUUCCUCUUACCUUGAUGGAAUUAAAGAUAGCCGUCGUCUGAACGCCCAACCGUACGGUCUGAGGUCAAAGGUCACAGGAAACACACACCAGUCAGCAGUCAUACAGAUGCAUAAAGAUAACUGUAGCCAUGGCAACCAGCUGACAUGUCCCCACUUUCACCAGCACCUGGUGCCUGCCAGGUCACCUGAAUUCCUGUGUGAUGUCAGCACGGUCGGCCGUGACUGCUGCCAUCAGAGGUGACCUCUGAUCAGCUGAAUGAACUCACCUUCCAGGGUGACGCCGUGUUAGAGUCGGCUUCAUCCUGUAAACAAACAAACAAACAAAUGAGUGGUAACAAAAACACCACGUCUGGUUCUGGUGGAGGCGGAGGACAACAUGCACCUUUCCAGGAGCAGAACCCAGAUGUUCUUGUUGCUACAAACAGAGACGAGCAGAGUUAAACCAGGAAGUGAGAGGGACCAGCUGCUGCAGACAGGUGACGCUCACCUGAGCCUGAACCAUAGGAGCCUCCUCAGCCAUCAGACCUUCUGACUCCAGUUCAGAUGCCACCUUGUUGAUGUCCCUCAGGCGGGACUCGUUGGCCUUCAGGUCCUGCAGGACAAAAGCACCUGCUGAUUACCUUGUUGCUGUCGGGUUAACAGGUCUGGUGUUAGAACGUGGUGGAUAAGAAUGUUCUGACGGGCCGAGGGUUCUGAACUCACCCUGCAGGACUGGGCCUGCUCCUUCAGGGCCUGGAUGCUGCUGCCGUAAGCCGACAGGUCCGACAUCAGGGCCUCGUGCUUCUUCAGGAGAGCCUGUGGAGCAGAACAUCAGAACCUUCAGCUCGUCUGACACAAGUGGAGCUUUCUCGCAGCGAUGGUCCAAUCGGAUCCGCCACUGUAAAACAAACCCUGCUCAGUUCACCGCAGACGCAGCUCUGCGGGUGUUUAGUGGAAAAGCGUGAGCCUUCUGCCGGCUGCCACGUGUCAUGGCUGCUCUGCAGCGGGAACACACAUCACAGCUUGUAAACCGUUUGAAAUAAGAGCGACGGGAACACGUUUGUCAUCACUUCCUGUGCGAGGCCAGCACUUCUACCCCUAACCCAUGAGACGCUCAAACGAGCAACGACGUCUGGUAGACAACCGAAGGAAAUGACAAAUACAGAAACACUAAUUAUGAAGGACUGGAAAGAGAGCAAAGAAAAGCGAUUGGAGUUUCUCAGGAAGGGACUUCCAUACCUCGGCCGAGUCCUCGUCUUUCCCUUAGUCUGGACUUCCAACGAUGGGCUCCUUCUCCCUCAUCCAGGACUCGGCCUCAUUAGCAUCCGCAAAGUACUGCUGGGCCUGCAGAGAGUCCUCCAGGUCCUGCCUCCUCUGGGACGCCUUGGCCUUCAGCGUGUCCCAACGUCCAUGAAGCUCCCACAGUUUAGUCUUCACUUCCUCACCAGCGAAGUGACCUGGACCCAAAAAAAGUGAGCCAGAACCUGCAGACACCUCAGAAACAUGUCAGGACCAGACCUGCUCUACCUUCUUCCACCAUGGUCUCUCCUUUCUGGGUGACAGCCUUGAUGCGAGGUUCAUGACCUGUGAUCUAAGCCUGCAGAGCCUGGUGCUUCUUCAGCAGGUUCUGGACACCAAUCAGGUCCUUCC